GAUGUUGUUGAUGAUGCUGUUGAUGAUGUUGUUGAUGGUAUUGAUGAUGAUGAUGAAUGGAAGGGCCGGGUUCGCGCGUGCGUGCACAGGGGGCUCCUAGCGCAUCAUCACCACCCGCGUUUGCGUUUUUAGUUAUUCAUAUUAAUUAUUGUCAUUACUUAGACAAUUCUGGAUCAAUCAGAUUACUCAAAAGAUGGUAUCUAUAUAUUUUUAUAUCAUCAUCUUUUUUUAAAUAUGUUAAUUUUUUACCAAUACAUUUUUUUCUGGGGGUGGUGGUGGGGGAAUGUGUAUAUUCGGUUAUUCAACAUCAAUUUAAAUGAAGUUCAAGGAUAGGUGCCAAUGCCCCCUGCCGCCCUCCCCAAGGCCAAUCCCUUAAUAUAACACGAUUGUUUAAUUCAUAGAUUGUUAGUUUUGGUGCCCUUCCCAGCACCUCCUAUUCGCAGGGUUUGUCUACAUACGAUGCGAAAUAAGUUUUAAACAUACAGACACAUCAAGAAUCAAUUCGCGGGCAAUUCGUUAACGGACUUGAAGAAACUGACUCAUACAUCGGCGCCAUCGUAACCUCGGAGCGGGAGUUGCACAUUUGCUGGAAUUCAUUCGUUUGUUCAUUUAUUGCGAUCGAUUACGAUGAGAUCCGAGUUAAGAAGCGCAUUUGGUCUGCAUUCACGCACGAGGUCAAAUUUUUUUUCCACAGUUUUCCUUUUCAAGUUCACCCCCCGUGAGUGCCCCGUCCAUUGAAGCGCAUCGCGGCGUCAAAUUCAUCCAUUCGUCCGUGGGGAUUCGUCGCGCUCAUCCGUCGAGGUGACGCUGAUGGCGCGAAGCAUCCGCUCGGCUCGGUGUUCGCUCGCCAACGUGCCGCGCCUCCUUCGCCGCUAGGCCCGAGAAGGGCGCGUGACCCGCAUGCGGCUGCCCGCAUUGUGACGUGCGCACGAGCACGUGCACGUGACCCUCGUCCGCCCCCCGCCACGUGCCGCCGACGUCGAGAGCAGUCGAAGAGAGAGAGGGGGGUGUGAGGGAGGGAGGGAGGGGAGGAGGACCCCGCGGUGCGAGUUUGAUUUGUCAUUGAUUUGUCUGUAACUGUUGUCGCUCGACUUCUUCUCGUCGUUUUCGUUUUUUACGUUUGUUCGAUUUUAGUUUUCUCUUCCUUCAACGUGCGCGGUGCCGCGCACUCAAAAAGAUACGACGAGAGAGACCGAUAUAUAUCCAGUAUUAGUUAUGCGUGAGACCCCCCCCCCACCCCCCUACACCCAACCCCUCCCCCCCGACCCCCCAAAACUUUAACCGCGAACUUUUCCACCUUUUAACCGUGAUCUGCCGUGCUUUGUCGCCACCCUUUGUAGAUUAUUAUCCGCGUUGUUAGUGUUAUUAGUUUUCAUUUGUUGUCGAAUUGAAUUAAAGCGUUCCGUCGAUUCGUGACCUUGUGUCGCA